rnacentral:rRNA from 1 species
GACGAACGCUGGCGGCGUGCCUAAUACAUGCAAGUAGAACGCUGAAGGAGGAGCUUGCUUCUCUGGAUGAGUUGCGAACGGGUGAGUAACGCGUAGGUAACCUGCCUGGUAGCGGGGGAUAACUAUUGGAAACGAUAGCUAAUACCGCAUAAUAGCAGUUGUUGCAUGACAACUGUUUGAAAGGUGCAAUUGCACCACUACCAGAUGGACCUGCGUUGUAUUAGCUAGUUGGUGGGGUAACGGCUCACCAAGGCGACGAUACAUAGCCGACCUGAGAAGGUGAUCGGCCACACUGGGACUGAGACACGGCCCAGACUCCUACGGGAGGCAGCAGUAGGGGAACUUCGGCAAUGGACGGAAGUCUGACCGAGCAACGCCGCGUGAGUGAAGAAGGUUUUCGGAUCGUAAAGCUCUGUUGUGAGAGAAGAACGAGUGUGAGAGUGGAAAGUUCACACUGUGACGGUAGCUUAACAGAAAGGGACGGCUAACUACGUG